rnacentral:rRNA from 1 species
GAUGAACGCUGGCGGCGUGCUUAACACAUGCAAGUCGAACGGAGAAAGGGUAGCUUGCUAUCUUUUCUUAGUGGCGGACGGGUGAGUAACGCGUGGGUAACCUGCCCUUUGCAGGGGGAUAACAGUGAGAAAUCACUGCUAAUACCGCAUACCAACUUCUUUCGCAUGAAGGAAGUUUGAAAGAUUUAUCGGCAAAGGAUGGACCCGCGUUGGAUUAGCUAGUUGGUGAGAUUACAGCCCACCAAGGCAACGAUCCAUAGCCGGCCUGAGAGGGUGAACGGCCACACUGGGACUGAGACACGGCCCAGACUCCUACGGGAGGCAGCAGUGGGGAAUAUUGCACAAUGGGGCGAAAGCCUGAUGCAGCGACGCCGCGUGAAGGAUGAAGGUUUUCGGAUUGUAAACUUCUAUCAGCAGGGAAGAAAGGGCUUAUAGCCUAUGACGGUACCUGACUAAGAAGCCCCGGCUAACUACGUG